AAAGAAGCUGUAGUGAAUCUACUUCUUAAGACUUUCAUCACAAUAACAUGUUUUGCCUGCAGUAAUAAUAAUGUUUUAAAAUUAUAAGAAAACAAUACAAUUAUCUGUUCCUAAGUGACAGAUCUUGCAUUUCCAAAUAAUCUGUGGGCAUUCAACAAGAAGAAUAAACUUAUUCCACUAACAAUUUCAGAACUAGCUACCAAACACAUACUGUAGAUCAAAUUUUCCUCUGAUUUAAACCUGAGUUACAUUAAUUGCAAGCCAGGGCAGAAAUUGGCUCCACUGAUAACAGAUAAUUAUAAACAACUGAAAACAAAGAGACGUUUUCUAUUAAGUGAAAGCAGGAAAAGGAUACACAUUUUUCUUAGCUAGCUUUAGAUUCAUUAACAACAUACGAUCUCCAGAUAUAUUACUUACUGCAUUUUAGCAAAAUCUCUUACAAUCUUUUCAUCUUCUACAGCAUAUUAACUUGAAUCCAGUGUGGAUCCUGUGUUUUCUAAAAAGCCCCUUAUUAAAGCAUUUCUUUCUUGUUGCCAUAACAGGAACAAGAUAAACAUUAAAACCACUUCAGCCCUUCACCAGGAUAACAGAAAUAAUUUCAACCUAGAGGAGUGGCCUGGCCGGUGACAACAUGAGCUCAAAGUACAGCUCAGUUCGCGGAGAUGGAGGGGGAAACUGGAUCAGAAUCUGAUUGAUUUAAAUGAGCGUGGUUUCAAUCCAAGGUGUGGAAAUUUCACAGGAGCAGUCAGCACCAUUAGAACUGCUCCAAUUAAAGGCAGAAAGUAAGUUCAGCCCAAGUCAAGAUGUUGAAACACAACAUAAUUUGUAUACGAGCCCAAAGAAGUGAGAAGCCGAUUUAAAAUACCCACGCCACACUUUUUGCAUUUGGGGAAACCAGAUUUUUGGGGAACUCAUCUGAAGAGCAGCCACUCUUUACAGUUUGCUCCACAUAGCGCCAAGAUGACAUAUCUGCUGGAUUUACUGCUGCUUACGGCAGCAAUGACUUUGACAGUCACUUCUGAGUUUCUAUUUUCUAGCUAUGUUCGUACGGAAGGUAGAAUUCAACAACAGCAUGGUACCUAACUGACCUCUGCUGCAUGAGGGAGAGGGGGCAGAGAAGUGUGGUGUUCUAAGACUCACAGGAUGGACCCCCAAUUUCCCUGCAGAUACGGCGUCUCUACCAGUUUGGCAGGACAUCUCU